rnacentral:rRNA from 1 species
GCCUAAAGCGUCCGUAGCCUGCUUUGUCAGUUUUCGGUUAAAUCCAUACGCUCAACGUAUGGGCUGCCGGAAAUACUGCAAAGCUAGGGAGUGGGAGAGGUAGACGGUACUCGGGAGGAAGGGGUAAAAUCCUUUGAUCUCUCGAUGACCACCUGUGGCGAAGGCGGUCUACCAGAACACGUCCGACGGUGAGGGAUGAAAGCUGGGGGAGCAAACCGGAUUAGAUACCCGGGUAGUCCCAGCUGUAAACUAUGCAAACUCAGUGAUGCAUUGGCUUGAUGCCAAUGCAGUGUUGCAGGGAAGCCGUUAAGUUUGCCGCCUGGGAAGUACGUACGCAAGUAUGAAACUUAAAGGAAUUGGCGGGGGAGCACCACAAGGGGUGAAGCCUGCGGUUCAAUUGGAGUCAACGCCAGAAAUCUUACCCGGAGAGACAGCAGAAUGAAGGUCAAGCUGAAGACUUUACCAGGCAAGCUGAGAGGUGGUGCAUGGCCGUCGCCAGCUCGUGCCGUGAGAUGUCCUGUUAAGUCAGGUAACGAGCGAGAUCCUUGCCUCUAGUUGCCACCAUUACUCUCAGGAGUAGUGGGGCGAAUUAGCGGGACCGCCGUAGUUAAUACGGAGGAAGGAAGGGGCCACGGCAGGUCAGUAUGCCCCGAA